rnacentral:rRNA from 1 species
GUGGGGAAUUUUGGACAAUGGGCGCAAGCCUGAUCCAGCAAUGCCGCGUGCAGGAAGAAGGCCUUCGGGUUGUAAACUGCUUUUGUACGGAACGAAACGGUCCGGGUUAAUACCCUGGGCUAAUGACGGUACCGUAAGAAUAAGCACCGGCUAACUACGUGCCAGCAGCCGCGGUAAUACGUAGGGUGCAAGCGUUAAUCGGAAUUACUGGGCGUAAAGCGUGCGCAGGCGGUUUUGUAAGACAGGCGUGAAAUCCCCGGGCUCAACCUGGGGAUUGCGCUUGUGACUGCAAGGCUGGAGUGCGGCCGAGGGGGAUGGAAUUCCGCGUGUAGCAGUGAAAUGCGUAGAUAUGCGGAGGAACACCGAUGGCGAAGGCAAUCCCCUGGGCCUGCACUGACGCUCAUGCACGAAAGCGUGGGGAGCAAACAGGAUUAGAAACCCGUGUAGUCC